AACGAACGCUGGCGGCAUGCCUAACACAUGCAAGUCGAACGAGACCUUCGGGUCUAGUGGCGCACGGGUGCGUAACGCGUGGGAACCUGCCCUUAGGUUCGGAAUAACUCCCCGAAAGGGGUGCUAAUACCGGAUAAUGUCUUCGGACCAAAGAUUUAUCGCCUUUGGAUGGGCCCGCGUUGGAUUAGCUAGUUGGUAGGGUAAAAGCCUACCAAGGCGACGAUCCAUAGCUGGUCUGAGAGGAUGAUCAGCCACACUGGGACUGAGACACGGCCCAGACUCCUACGUGAGGCAGCAGUGGGGAAUAUUGGACAAUGGGCGAAAGCCUGAUCCAGCAAUGCCGCGUGAGUGAUGAAGGCCUUAGGGUUGUAAAGCUCUCUUACCCGGGAUGAUAAUGACAGUACCGUGAGAAUAAGCACCGGCUAACUCCGUG
rnacentral:rRNA from 1 species